ACAAAUAGCGCAUAACUACUUCGUAUAAUCCUGGGGAUUGGCCCGGGAGUCUCUACGAGAUCACCCUAAUGAUCUGGCUACGAAGAGGAGAAGGCUGAGC
rnacentral:ncRNA from 2 species